ACGAUUGCUAUUUAUUCUUUAAUGUUGUUGUGGUGCAAUUAAGUCCAUACUAGCUCCUUUUUGUUUGCCCUCUGGCCUGUCAAUUAAUCACAAAAAGCCGAACUAUUCUUCAGCAGUGCAGGCCAAGCAAACAAGAGGCAAUGGUUGGUGGACAUUGUAGGAGUUAAACAGGUCCACAUUCCAGGGAAGUAUCUGGGAAUUCAAAUGGGAUGCUCGAAUAGUAAGUUAUGUUUCCAGCCGCUAUUAGAAAAGUUGCAGAACAAACUUGCCUCUUAGAAAUCACUUUGCCUUCCCAAGGUACGAGGCAUACGCUAUCUUCUUUACCAAUUUAUACAUUUUCUUGUUUCAAGGCCCCGAAAUAUGUUGUUGAGAAAGUAGACCAAUUACUGAGAAGCUUCUGGUGGGGACAUGAGCUAAAUCAGAAAAAGUUGCAUAUGGUAUACUAUUUGUAAACUGAAAUGUGAGCAUUCCAAAGCUUGAAUUGUUGAACGAUGCCUUGUUGUUUAAGCAAGCAUGGAGAAUGCUUAUAGAAACCCUUCUAACCUGGCACAAAAAGUAUUGUUAAAUAAGUGUUCUCCAACGAUAAACUUUUAUAAUGUUGUUCAGAAAGCGUCAGAUUCCUAGGUUUGGAAAAGCUUAUUAAGAAGGCGACAUAUUUGCGAAAAAGGUCUUCAUGUCCAAGUAGGGAAAGGAGAGAGAUAAUUGUAAUGUCCCAACAUUUUUAAUACAAUUAUUAAUGACACUGUUUUGGAAAUAUGCACAAAAAGAAUUUUUGAGAAAUUGGAAUGAGCUUAAUAAAGGAUUUCUUUUAAAAGAAUUAACUAAAUACCGAGAAAGAUAAAUGUGAGUUUAAAAUUUUGGACAAAAUAUUUAAUUAGGAUUUAGAGAUGGUAUAAGAACUAGAGUGUACGAAUUAAAAGUUAGUUUAAUAAUUAUUAUUUUUGUAUAAAGGAGACAUGAAGAAUUGAAAAUCAAGUCUGGAUUAAAUUGAAUGUGUGGAUUAUUAAAGGGGUAUUUUGGAAUUUUCUACAUGCAAUUCGUUUGUACUAUCGUGGAUUAUUUUUCGGUUCCUUAUCUAUUUGAACUAUGACUUUAAGUACAUCAAUAUAUACAAGUCAUGCAUAUAUAGUUUAUUAUCCACUUAGGAUUAAGGUAUACCACAUUAUGAAUAUCACAAGUGAAUAAAUCCAUAAAUGGAUAUAAGAUAAAUUCAACUUGGGUCUUGUUUGAUGUAUUACCAAUCCAAAGAAUUAUAUCUAUGUUUUUAUCUUUUGGGAGUCAUCCACUCCGAUACCCAAAUAAUGUAUCUCCCCAUCAGACUUAAUAGAUGACAUAAUAGUCAUUCAAUCAAUUUGCUCAAUUUCGAUUAUACUAUAGACUAUUUAGAUUAUCUACUAAUAUAAGUUGCAUUUUCGCAUUAUGAUCCGACCACAUAAUGCCACUUAAUAUUAGUUAAAGAUUAGAUAAUCAAUGAGUCAAUAUUUAUUUAUAUUUUGCUUUGCGUACAAAUACUGUUUUGAAAAAUUACAAAUACACUACACUUAAGGCAUUAAAUCUUAACAGUAUCUAUGCGUAAUGUAGAUAUGAUAUAAUACAUUAUGAAAUAGCACAUAUGUUCACUUGGUUUUGUUUGAAGGGAAUGCACUUUUAGUUCAAUAUAUAUAUAUCUUCAAGGGCGAAGCCAGAACAAUUUUUUAGGGGGGUCAGAUAAAAUUUUAAUUUUUUAUAGUUUAUAUCUUUAUAAUUUGUAAAGGAUUAAAUCAAAAUUUUAUAAUUUUAGGGGGACUAAAGUGCAAUUUUACAUUUAUUAAUUUAAAAUUUUUAAAAAAUUUAAGGGCCAAAAGAACAAAUUUACAUUUUAGGGGGGGCCAGGGCCCAUGCCAGCCCCCCUGGCUUCGCCCCUGUAUAUCUUGGUUGUGUUUGGCUAGGGCACCUAUGGUACAAUAUGUACAUGGUAGUUUUGUAUGAAAGUAUCAAGUGUUGGAAUCUUAUUUUAUUAAGUUCUAAAAGUAUGAGCAUUGGUAAAAGAAAUAUAUACAAGUAGAUAUGUAUAAUAACAAGUUAAGAAAAUAAGAAUUUGAUAAUAAGAUGCCAUUAGUAUGUUAAGAAAGAGGAAUAUAAAUAUUGAAAUAGUAAGCGUUGUGAAAUGAGAAGAAAAUGUGAAAUUAUUGAUGGGAAGUGCUUAUAGAUUGAAAAUAAACUUAAGAAUUGAAUUGUAUAAGAAAAUUCUCGUUAAAGGGACAAAAAGAUGUUAAUAGAUGAUAAUCACUCUAAUUAAGUAAAACAAAUCGUACUUGAGUGUUUGAGUUUUAAUGAAAAAUUAAUAAGUGAUUUAAAUGAAACAAGAUUUUAUGUCUAUAAAAGAUUCAACACUAACAUGCUUGUAAUCAGGGUGAAGACUUAUAGGGAUAUGAAAAUGAGUUCAUAUGCAAUUGUGUUAAGGAAUAACUGUUACAUACUUAUAAUAUGUAAUGACAUUAGGUAUGUGUGAGCUAUAUGGAAGUUUGUUGGUGAUUCUUGUCUUUUAAUUGGUUAUAUGAAUAAGUAAGGCAUAAUAUGAAGAUAUUGAUUUUGUUUAUUGAUGAUUUGUUGUUUGUAGUUUAAUGUUUAAUAACAUGUUUUUAAUUUAGAAAACAUAUGUGGUACUGUUGGACAUUGAUGUACACCACAAUGCUUUAAAAAAAAAGCUCAAUGUGCGAAUGUUGUUCCGUCUCAAGUUAUAGGGGGUUUGAGUUUGGUUCUUCAUGUAGAACAACAUCACACUCAGAUAUCUCAACUAAUUGAGUGGUUUGUAAUUCCUUUUCAGCCUUUUUAAUAGUCAUGACACGUACUUAGGCCUUAAUUUUGUCUUUUAGGGGUGCUUGACUUGGAUUUAAAUGUUAUUUUUGGUUAUUUGGCAUAUUUAGUACAUGUUUGACACUUUUGGUAAUUUUGAUGCACUAAUUUUGAUAAUUUAUUAAGAGACUUAGAUGUUAUAUAUGUAUGUUGAUUCAAGUUGCUUUUUAAUUACCAUAGAGGCUAAAAUUUGAUUUAAAGUAUGUUUGACCAUGAAUUUGCAUGUUAUACACAUGUUUUGAUAUGUCAAAUUUGUUAGUAUUAGUUUGGUCUAUGUUAUGUAUGUUUAAGUAUGGUUUAGAAGCUUGGAACACUUGAAAUGAUCAAUUUUCUAUAUUUCUGGUAUGAAGUACUCAAGUAGCAGAAUCACAUAAUUGGCUAUAGGUACCCAAACUGCAAAUUCCAAUACUUGCAAAGUUAGUAGCUAAACUUGUGAAAUAGGGGUGACAAGUAGCAUCAAGUAUUGGUAUGUGUAUCAAGUUCUUGUUUAGUUCAAGCCUAUCUGUAACGACCCAAAAUCCGUGGGCACCGGAAAAGUUUGCUAUCGGGCCUCUGUCUUAGUGAAAUAAGUUCGAAAAUAAUUAUUAAAAAUAUUUAUGAGCCUAGUGGUGUGUCUAAUUAGGUUUUAAUUAAGUAAAUUUAGCUUAAUUUAGAGUAAUUAGCAAAAAGGAUUAAAUUGAAUAAAGGGUGAAAGUCUAAUUAUAGAUUAAAAGAAAGUAAAAAGGGCUAAAAUGGCAAUUAAACCAUUUAGCAUAAGUUGAGACGGCAAACAUGUUAAAAUCUAAGAUAUUUUUAGAUUUUAAUUAUGUAAAUAUAUAUAAUUUAAUUAUUAAUUACUUUUUUAUUUAAGUAUAUAGAUAUUUAUUAUUUAUUAUUAUUCUAUUAAAUUAUAAUUUAUAUUAUUAAAUUAUUAUUAUUAUUAAAAAUAAAUUAAAAUAAAAACAAAUGUAUGGUGAUUAAAUUAUACAAGUGUAAUUCAUAUAUUUAUACAUUUGUAAUAUAUUUAUUUAAUUACUUUUUAUUUAAGUAAAAAGAUUUUUAUCAUGUUAAAAUAUUAAAUUAUAUAAACUAAAUAAAAUAAGGACAAUUAGAUGGUGAUGAUAAUAGGCAAGUGUAAAAUAUAUGUGUGUCCAAUUGUAAUAUAUAUAUUGUUAUUAAAUAAGAUAUUUAUAAUAAUAAUAAUUAUUAUUAUUAUUAUUAUUAUUAUUAUUAUUAUUAUUAUUAUUAUUAUAAAGUUAAUAAAAUAAAAGAAUAAAAGAAAUAAAAUAAAAUAAAGUAAAGAAGAAACAGAGAACAUUUCGAAACAGAACAGGAAAGAAAAAGGAAAGAAAGAAGAAAGGGAAAAUUGAGGUUUUAAAGCUUGAAGUUUAAUUGGUAAGUUUAAUCAAGUCCUUUUCUUAUAAAUUUGAUGUUUUUGGAAUCUUAGAGUGAAAUACUCUUGAAUUUAAGUUGAAAUUUUGAAAGUUAAUAGAUUUUUGAGUAGGGUUUAUGUUGAACAAAUGAUGGAAUUGGGGGUUUAUUUGGUAGAAAUUUUGAUUAGAAUUGAAUAAAGGAUUGAAUUGUAAACUAAGCUAUAAGUUUUGAGUUUUAGGGAUUAAAUUGAAAUAAAUUCGAAAUUAUGAAAAUAUGAUAAAAAUUAAGUAGUUAGAUGUGAGUUUGGUAAGAAAUUGAGUAGUAAAAAGGUAUGAAUUGAGAAAGAAAAAUAUAUAGGUUUAGUUGGGAUUAAAGUUGAAUUAAAGGAAAAGUUAGAUAAAAAUUUCAGCAUUUAAAUUGUGUUAUGCUAAUAAUUGUGAAAUUAUUUUAAUUGUUCAUAGCUAAUAUCGAGCCUGAAGCAUCGGCCUAAAAAGGAAAAGGAAAGAUCGUCGAGGAUUAAAUCCGAAGAGAAUUCUAGUUUGUAUCACUAUAACUCAAGCUUUAUAAUUAAUGUGUUUAAUUUAAUAUGAAUAUGUGGUAAGUAUUUUAAGGUAAGUAUUUAAUGAAAUAACAAAAUUUGUGAUUGGGUAUUAAAAUCGAGAUUGAUACUGAACUGAAUUAUUGGAUUCUGAAUAUUGUUUUGAAUACCGAAUUAAACUGUAAAAUUACUGAAUAAUAUUACGUAUAUUGCAUUGAACUGUAAAAUUUCUAAUGAAGUAAAUUAUUGUAUUACUGUGAAAAUUGAUCAAAAUAAUAAAUUAUAAUUAAUAUUGAAUCGAAAUGGAAAUUACACUGAAAAAUGAUUUAAAUACCCUAUUAACUAGUCAGGCUAGUCGGAUAUAGUUGGAAUGUUAUAGGAUAUGGAAGAGUACGGGUUUUUGCCGGCUUACUAAUCAGGCACUUAUGUGCCGACUACUGUUACUGUUACCGUUACUGUUACUGAUUCGACACUUUGUGUGUCGAAUACUGUUAUCGUUACUGUUACAGAUUCAGCACUUUGUGUGUUGAAUACUGUUACUGUUAUUGCUAAUGCUACCGUUACUGAUUAGAUACUGUGUACCAUUAAGGCACAUUGUGCCGUACUGGUGUGUUGGUUGGAAUCCGUGUAUCCGCGAGUCCGAGUCAAGUUAAUAAGGAUAAAUGAAAUAAAUCUAUUGAUAAAACUAAAUUUGAAUGAUAUGUCCUAUGUGAAAGUUGAGAAUUGAAAUAAAGAAAUAAGAAUGGUAUAUAUAUAUAUAAUUGAAUGACAACAUGAAAGAUUGAAUUGUUCAUUAAGUGAUGAUAAUUGUAAUGUAAAAGUAUGUGUGUGAUUUAAUGUAUUUAAUUAUAAACUGAAUUAUAGUGAUACCACUGAGUAUAUGCAUACUCAGCGUAUGGUUGUUUCCGUGCGCAGGUUGUAGAAGUCAAGUACUGAACCAGCAUCCAAAGCCAGACCCGACUUCAGCAAACUUUUGGUGAUGUAUAUUUUCUUUUGGUAAUGUGGCAUGUACUUAGGAUGUGUAUAAAUGUUAUUAUGUUUUGAAUAUAAAUGGUUUAAAA
rnacentral:lncRNA from 1 species